rnacentral:lncRNA from 1 species
CGGGGCUCGGCUGGGGGCAACCGGCUGGGCGCCUCGCGGUCCGCCUGACCACAUGCUCCCUCGACCGUCCAUCGUCGCCGCGCUGGAGGUGACAGGCCGCAUUGCACGGAUCCAAAUAUAGAGCUCUCAGUCCUUCUCCAGCACUAUGUCUUCAUGCUACCUACCAUGAUGACAAUGGACUAAAGCUCUGAAACUCAGGAAGAUGUGAGCAAGGUGCACUUUGUAAAUUAUAAAAAUGAGACUCAGAUGUUUUGAAAACACAGAAGCGUUGUCCCUCAGAUGGAGGCUGUUAGAAUAUCAUCGCUACAUUGUAGUUGUACAACGUGGCCGUCAAAUGCAGACAUUACCUCCUGACAAGCGAAGCAGCAAGUUUUCACCACAAGACCCCAGAGCACACAGGUGUCAGAGGCAGGAAACAGGACCACCUGACCAGAGGUAGCUCUGUUCUCCAAGGCCCGAGCCCUCCCACAUCAAUCCUGAGUCAAGAAAAUGCCCUACAAAAUUGCCAACAGGUAAUCCAGUAAAGGCAUUGUUUCAGCUGAGACUCUAGCUGGGUCAAAUUUGACAAAAACUAACCAGAAUGCCUGCCUAACCUAUUAAGGAACUGGCGAAUCCUGGAAAUAAAGUGGUUUUUGUAGGCAC